UAGCAGCACGUAAAUAUUGGCGUAGUGAAAUAAAAAUUAAACACCAAUAUUAUUGUGCUGCUUUA
ensembl:miRNA MIR16-2 microRNA 16-2